CUGGGCAACUCUGGGGUUCCACACCCUCCGAUCCUAUCCUUGCUCCGAUGGUGCCCCUGAGCCCUGCUCAUGCUGCUUGGAGCACGAUGGCUGUCCUUUGGGUCAGCCCUUCCCACCAGGCCUGCCCAGGGCCUGCAGCCUUCUCUACUUGGGCUGUUUGUUGUGGCAUCAUGACCCAACCAGAAACAGACUGCUCAGUCAUAGACUUGUUGUUUGGGAUUCCCUUUUGGGUCAUGCACCGAGUUCCUAGCUAGAGUUUCAGGAAUGCCUCCAGCUGUCAGCUCCCUAGAGGAAUAGAGAUGUCUGUCACCCUUGAGUCCGGGCACACCCCAAGCCCUCUUCAGGGGAACCUACCCUUGUCUAUGGGCCUGUAUUCUCUGAAAUGGCUCACCCCAAAGGUGACCAUUUACUCACCUAGAAUCCAUCAGUACCCUGUUCUCACCAAAGAGAGAGAGGUUAGUGGCCAGAACAGAACUGAGCCUUUGAGCCCUUUGGUAUCUUUUCCACAACAGGCUGCAAGAGCUCUCACACUUUUUUUUCCUUAGCGUCGCCCCUCCACAUUGUCCAGAUGCCUGACAGUCUCCCAUUCCUCCCCGUUCCUUUCUCUGCACUGCUUAGGAAGGUCAGGUUGGUCCAGCAGGAGGGAGAGAAGAAAACUUCCAGUACCCGUGGAACCCCAGGGUGCUAAUGAAAGUCUUCUUUUGGGUACUUGUUACUUACUUAGGUUUCAGUCCUAAAAAUGAAGAGGCAGUUUGAUAACCUGGCAGCUACUCUGGUUUUUCUCCUGGGGCCCUUAACCCACUUUGGGACCAUCGCCUCCCUUCUACAUCUGAAUCUCAACUCUGCCACUUUCUGGCAGUGUGACUCUCAGGAACUUCUUAGUCUAUCUGACCCAUUAUUUCCUCUUGUCUUAUCAUUGCUGUUGCGGAGUUUAAAUGAGAUACUGUAUAUGGUGCCUGGUUCAUGGUGGGUGUUCCAUCAAUGUCAUUUAUCUUCCCUGUCCCUUACCCCGUCCCCAUCUUCCAAACACAGUGGCAAGAAAACAGGCUCUGUCUCCACUGGGGAUCAGUACAUCAAUUCAAACAGCCAGGGGACCUCGCAGUCCCUGCCACCACUCCCAGCCCCUACCAUCCACUGCAUAUCUGUGUUCUGAAAAUAGAUCCUCUCCACCCUACCCCCAAUCCACUCGAGAGAACAUGAGUCCUUUCCCCUCUUGGCCACAGCCAAAGUUCAUUGUUGUAAUUUCCUGGCCUAAUUCCUGACCCCUCCUCAGGUCCUUUUGUCCCAUCUCUCUCGCUGAGAUGGGUGGAUGGGACACCUUCCUGAUCCAGUAUCAUCUGCAAAGUUAAUUAAUGUGUCAUCGGGCUGUUGCCUGCUUCCUGAUCCUUAUCAUGGAUUUAAAUAAAACGCAGCAGCCCCAGUUCUGCCCCGUCCAUCUCUUUCCCUUCAUCUUAGUCAUCAGUCCUUGACCUCAGCCUUCUGGCUAGCUCUUAGCUUCCAGCUGCAGGGCUGGUGGCCCUGCUUCUGCCCAGGCCUGGUCUAGGGGCAGAGGUGGCAUGCAGGGCUUUAAUGGAAUGCAGGGCUUUAAUUCUGCGAGAGAAUCAUGGACAUCAGGCCCUUACCUCAAGGUCCCACUUCCUUCAGGGAUUCUCCCUAAAUUUUAGCCAUAAGGGACUUUAAGAUGCUAUUUAGUCCAACAUGCUCUUUUUCAGAUAAGGAAACAGAGGCCUAAAGGGGUUCGUGACUUGUCCAAACUCACACAUCUAGGAAGGGCAGAGGUGAGAAUUCAGAUCCUGACAAUCAGUGGAAGGUCCCACAGAAAGGUUAAUUGCUUUGUUUAUUUAUUUAAACGUGUGUCAAGGGCCUGCCAUGUGCAACACAUUCUUCUAGGCACCGGGGUUAUAGCAGUGAACAAAAAGGCCUGCAUUGUCACAGCUUACCUUCUCCAGGGCAGAAACAGAUAAAAAACAAACAAGCAAAUAUGUGUUGUGUCCGAUUGUGAUGUGUGUUAUGGAGAAAAAUACAGCAGAGGAAGGAGAACGGCUAGCAUUGGGAGAAGGGGAUUACAAUCACAUACGAGUGAUCUGGGACGGCUUCACAGGGAGGGGUCUUUCAGCACAGGCCCAGGAAGUGACAGGAUGGACCACGUGGCCAUCUGAGGAAGAACUGUCUGGGUGCAAAAGUCCUCAGGAGAGCAUGGUAUUCUUGGAAGUUCGAGAAGUAACAUGGAGGCAGAGUGGCUGGAAAGGAAGGAAGGUGACAAUAGGAGAUGAAGUCGGAGACACAGUAUGGGACCAGGUCACGGGAGCGCUUUAAAGGAAAUGAAUGUGUCCAAAAGAAGCAAAAAAUGCUGAAGGCUAAUAGUGAGGGAAAGGCCCCACGACCCCUGAGCAGAGCCCCGACCUGUACUAACUGGACUGCCAGGCCAGCCCUGGGCUGCAGGUACCAUGUCCUUUCAGCCCUCAACGCCCCCAUUCCUCUGCUUGGCUCUGUCAUCCCCUGACUGCAGUCUCCUUAGUCUUUCUUUCACAUCUGAGAUGUCAAAGACCACCAAUGAUUCCUAAACUCCAGCCUGGCCAAGGAGAGACAGAAGUGCCUCCUUCAAGAACCAUAACCAAGAGCCUUCUCUCUUCCUGUUGACAUUUGCCUUCGUGCCAAGUUCCUAAUGAGAUGAAUGACUCUUCCUGCUGCCCAGCCUAGGAGUGGGAAUCUCCCUUGGCCUCAUCUCUCAGAAAUCGCUCCAGCAAAGCCAGCUCCCUCUUUUGUCUGUGGCUAGAUUGACCAUGUUCUCUCCCUUGGCAAAAAGUUGGUGGAUGGUCAGGUUCUUCCAAUAUGGUCACAUUCUCACCCAUAUCCCAGGCCCUGAGCAGGCAAGAUGGUACCCCAAAAAUCACUUGAUCCGCAAUACUGCUGGCCACAUCCUCUCUAUUUCCCUGGAUUCUGGCAAAUCUCCGUCUAGUAACAUCAUUUCUAUGGCCUAGCCUAGGCAGUUUCAUGCCUGAGAAAAAAACAUUUCUUCCUCCCUCUCCCCACCUUUUUUGGUCUUCCAUUUCAUGCCUCCCAAAAGUUCCCCCUCAGUUCUUGGCUUUCCCUUGCAACUUGGCAUCAUCCAGAGCUUCUUCACAUUUCAUUCAUUCAUCCAUGAAUUUAGCAAAACUACUAAGCCAGGUACAGUGUUCAGCAUGCGGGUGGGGUGGUCACACAGUCCAAAGAUGAACAACACACAGUCCUUGAAGAUCUUACGCUCUGUCGGGGAAGCAGACACAUAAACAGAUGAUUUCAAUACACUGGGACUGGUGUCAUGAUAAUGGUUCACUCUGAUAGGAAGGCACCUAAAUCAGAGUUUGGGGGUAAGUGGGAAGGAUGGGGUGGGGUAGGGAAGCUUCCUGGAGGAUCUCAGUCUUCUUUCAGGUCCCACAUCAAUAACAAAACCACUAAGCUGCUGAGGACUUUCUAUGCGCCAAGUGCUGUGCUAAAGGCUGGACAUGUAUUAUCCCAUUGGACUCUAGGUAGAGUAGAACUAACCCAGGGUGCUCACCAGGUAGCCUGUGGGGCUGUUCACUCUUUGUCCUUUUCCUGGAGGAGAAAGAGAAAAUCCCAGUGGCCCACAGGCCCCAGGAAACAACAGAGCAGCUUGGCAUCUCUGGAGUAUGCCCAGCUGGCUUAGUGGAAGUUGUCCAACCCAGAUGACAUGUCCCUGUGUUACAUUCUGGUUGCUUCUCCUUGCUACAGAGCAGAGUUUUUCUAGGGUUUGGGGAGGGAUACGGGGAGCCUCCAUCUUUGGAUUCUUUUGGUACAGGUACAACAUCCCUCCAGGUGACCUCCACCUACCGUGGCUCUGUAGACGCCAGCUCCUCAGCACAGGACCUGAGGUGGUGAGCUGGGAGGAAACCCACCAGACGUGCUCUUCUUCCUGAGGUGCUUAGAGUCAGGUUCCACAGUUCCAAGCAUGGCCAACCUCCACCUUCCCCUCUCUCAGCCCAUCCACCUGAUUCUCCUUUGCUGUUGGUUGAAGAGCUCAGACAAAAGACCAAGGCUGUGGCUCCAGUUCCAGCACUGCCUCUCCCUGUGCGUUAGACCCUAAGUGAAUUUCUUAACUUGGCUGAGCCUCUAUUUUCCCAUCUGUACAGUGGGGAUAAUACCCUUCUCCACAGAGUUGUUGAGAGGAUCCACUCGAAUGUAAAUUAUGAAAAAGAGCUGUCCUUUCCAAAAAGCCAAAAGAAGACUGUUGGAGGAGGAGGUGGGCGAUACUCUUCUCCUUCGACAGGUGAAUAUAUUAUGGGGAGACGUUUCUAGGUGGAGCUGGAAGCCCGAUCUGAACUCAGUCACUAGUCUUAUUAGAUCAGGUGAGAAGAUCACACAGGAUUCAGAUGGCUCCGAGGUGACAAGCUCAGGAAUAAUCUCAGCUUCACGGUUAGAAACUGUAUUUUCUGGGUCUUAAGACAUGGAAAUCUCCAUCCAAUGAGGAUGUAGAUCAUUGAACAGAUGUACACCCUCUGCACUGCACUGCAUCAGGAGUCAGGAGACCUGGCUUCUAGUCCUGGCUCUAACAUGAGGACAAAGCUCUAUAACAUCUGCAAAGUCACAGCCCUUCUCUGGGUCUUGAAGUCCCUGUUAGAAAAUCAAGUGGUCCCACUAGAGAAUCCAUAAGAUAUCUUCAGCCCUAAAGUGCAGAAGUCCCAAGACUGUCACUCUGUGCAAGACCCACCCCCAUCUCACAGCUGGGGACUGAGCCAGGGCUCAGCAAUGCUGGCAUGAGACUCAAAUGCAAAGAUCCUGCUUCCCGUUGCCUCAAAGCACCAGCUCUCUCGCUCCAUCCUCCCAAGAGCCUCCAAGGCGCCAUUGGCUUCCCGGGACUCUGAGUCUGCCGGCCUCUUUUCCUGACUCCAGUUUCUUCUGGCCUGAGCCAAUGGGGCAUGUUCUGUGACUGCAUUUGCAUCUCGGAUUGUGUUUUUAAACCCAUUUUCUCCCAUAUUUGCCUGAAAAAUAUAUAGAAACUGAUAUACAAUCCAA
rnacentral:sRNA from 1 species